ACCGUCGACAGUCAGGCAACGAGCGAGACCCACGCCAACAGUUGCCAGCUCGUCCUCCGGGAUGGUGGGGACACUGUUGGGACCGCCUCUGCUAAAGAGGAGGAAGGAAUGGGCAACGGUAGGUCAGCAUGCCCCGAAUUAUCCGGGCUACACGCGGGCUACAAUGGGUGGGACAAUGGGUAUCGACACCGAAAGGUGAAGGCAAUCUCCUAAACCCAUCCUUAGUUCGGAUUGUGGGCUGCAACUCGCCCACAUGAAGCUGGAAUCCGUAGUAAUCGUGUUUCAAAAUAGCACGGUGAAUAUGUCCCUGCUCCUUGCACGAAUUCGCCG
rnacentral:rRNA from 1 species